rnacentral:rRNA from 1 species
UACGGAGGGUGCAAGCGUUAAUCGGAAUUACUGGGCGUAAAGCGCACGCAGGCGGUCUGUCAAGUCGGAUGUGAAAUCCCCCGGGCUCAACCUGGGAACUGCAUCCGAAACUGGCAGGCUAGAGUCUUGUAGAGGGGGGUAGAAUUCCAGGUGUAGCGGUGAAAUGCGUAGAGAUCUGGAGGAAUACCGGUGGCGAAGGCGGCCCCCUGGACAAAGACUGACGCUCAGGUGCGAAAGCGUGGGGAGCAAACAGGAUUAGAUACCCGCGUAGU